rnacentral:rRNA from 1 species
UACGAAGGGGGCUAGCGUUGUUCGGAAUCACUGGGCGUAAAGCGCACGUAGGCGGCUUGUUAAGUCAGAGGUGAAAUCCUGGAGCUCAACUCCAGAACUGCCUUUGAUACUGGCGAGCUCGAGUAUGACAGAGGUUGGUGGAACUCCGAGUGUAGAGGUGAAAUUCGUAGAUAUUCGGAAGAACACCAGUGGCGAAGGCGAUCAACUGGGUCAUUACUGACGCUGAGGUGCGAAAGCGUGGGGAGCAAACAGG